rnacentral:other from 1 species
GCGGGGCUGCCCGGUGCGUCAGGCACUUCAUCCCCGGGGCCAGUGAUCUUCCCAUCGGGAGCUGUCCCUGUCGCGGUCGUGGCCGCGGCACACGGCGCCCACCUGCUGAGAGCAGGCUCUGGGAGGAUGAUCAGCCAACGGCCAGGGUGGCUCCGCG